GCAUUUAGUAGCAAAACCUUUGGCCUUUUUGUUUUGAAGUAUCCAUUUUGUUGCGCCUUUACAAAUACUUUGCUUAUUCGGAGUAUAAACAAUAUGGGACAGUACUUAAUACCCUGUUAUUGGCUUCAUACGAAGGAGGACGAAAAAUCAAGAAUUGAACUUGUUGUACUAUUUUCUUUCGUUGAAUGUUUGGAUGCUACUAUUUGAUAGAGUUGAUCUGCCUUACUACUUUUCAUGGAAAAAGGUGAUACAAUGCCAUUCAUGUAUGAUAUUGUAAGCAAAUGGAGAUUUGUUGUUGAUAAAGUACAGUUUUCGUCUCAAACUACAGCACUUAUCACCUAAUAUCUAGUAUUCUAGCCUAUGAGAAUAAUACUUCUCUGCAAAUUUUGAAGGUGUGGGACUUGAUAAAAUUGUUGAAUUAUAUCUAACAGAGAGGGAAGAUAUUGACUCGUCAAGGAUAGAAUUACUGGUGAAUCAGUUGGAGAAUUGUGGUUGCAAAUUUUGAAACAUUAUAGAGAGAGCAUGAUGGAUGUUGUCAAUAACAUAGAUGUUUAGAAGUGGGUUGGGCUUUGGAAAUGAGUUCACCAACUUCCAAAAGUUGUUGUUGGCAUACCCAAUGGAAUGCCUCAUGCAAGUUCCAGUAAUGAAGAACUAGAGAGGAGUUUCCAGACCGUCGUAUUGACUGAUAGUGAACAGUUGGAUCUUUCUGCCAAGAGGUCAAUAAUGAAACUACAAUUCCUGUAGAAAGCAAUGCUGGUGUCAGCUCUGAGGUAAGUGAGUUUUUCCUAAGUUUUUACUUACUAAGUACAAGCCCAAAGAUUGAAGCUAAUGCGAGGAGGAAAAUCAUGACAUAGAUUAGAUAUUAAGAAGAGAACUAAUGAAACCUUUGAUGUGAUCGAUUUAUCGCUAGAGCUAAUGGUCUUCUUGCCAAAACAUUGUAUUGUGUAUAUAGGUGAAACAUCAGUUUAUUUGUAAACUUGUUGAAUCCCCUGCACACUAGCUAAAUAGCAUUAAAAUCCUUGCUCCACCACUAUAGUCUUCUUCUUUCCUUUUGUUCAAUUAUGAAAUUAUAUUGGUACAUGAUAAUACUUUCUGCAAUUGCAGACAUUGAACUACCAGUUGUUGAAAUAUAUUUGGGUACUAUAUAUAUUGCCUUUAUCCCUGAUUUUUAUUAUUUUCAGAGUUGCCGGCAAAUUUAGUAAAUCAUUCAGUGACAAGAAAACUAUUGAGUAUUAUUCAAAACUUGCAUUGGCUCUUCUAAAUAUUUAUUGUGCCAAGGUAAAUGUCUUAGAAACAUUUAUGACCUGCAGUCCAGAGUAAGCAAUCUGAAUUUCAUAUUGCAGGUUCAUAUGCAUCUGCUUAUCGUCAUCAAUAUCAUAUAUUCCUUUUCUGUUGUUUUCUAGCAGCAACCUCGUGAUGCUCAAGUAGCAACAUCAGCUUUUUCGAGGGCUGCUCAGU
rnacentral:lncRNA from 1 species